rnacentral:rRNA from 1 species
GGAGGCAGCAGUGGGGAAUAUUGCACAAUGGGGGAAACCCUGAUGCAGCCAUGCCGCGUGUGUGAAGAAGGCCUUCGGGUUGUAAAGCACUUUCAUUUGUGAGGAAAAGUUAGUAGUUAAUACCUGCUAGCCGUGACGUUAACAACAGAAGAAGCACCGGCUAACUCCGUGCCAGCAGCCGCGGUAAUACGGAGGGUGCGAGCGUUAAUCGGAAUUA